CUGCCUCCGUCCUAAAUCAUUGCCCUUUAUCGUUUCAGGUUGCACAAGAAAAGGUCAAACAGCAAGAGGCCGGAACUUGUGCCUGGUGUCAAACGUUCACCGUCCAACAGUUCAGUCAACAGUCUGAGUAGCUUCUUCAGCAACAUCAGCAACAUCAGCAACGCCUCCAAGCGCUCUCAGCACUCUCUGCACCUCGUCAGCAGCAGCGGCUGGCAGGAGCCCGACGCGCCUUCAACUUCUUCCAACAACUACUUGUCGUCCACAUCUGGCUACUCCUCCCAGGAUGAGCUGCAGGGUUUGGCGUACUCUGAAUUGUUCUCUCCCCUUGCCAAGCUGUGGGGCUGGAUCUCGCUGCUGACUCCAGGU